ensembl:lncRNA novel transcript
GAAGACAGAACAGCUCAGUGUGGCUGGUGUAUCGUGUUCCUUUUGAAGAUUGAUAGGAGACUGCUGUAAACAGGCAACAAGAGUGCCAGAAGAUGUGGAAUUUGUAUAACCCCAAACUGUGUUUUCCUAACUAAUCUUGGCAAGCUUAAAACCCUGGAAAGUCACAAUUCACUUCCCAGGCGAUCAUCCUGGACAGCUCAACAGCAGAAAAGCAGAACAGGAUAUCCAGCUAUUGAACCGGGCUGCCGGCCCAGGUGGCCAGCCUUGAAGCUGUGGAGAGCGCCUACCAGGAGGGCCGCAUGGGCUGCAGGAAGACACGUUCCUUUCCUCUGUCUGUUGUGAGCUGGAAAGGAAAGUACAGUCUGCACUCCCGAAACACUGCCUGCCAACACAGCACUUUUCAGCAAAGGUGAAAAGAGAGUAUGUCUCUAACAAUAAAUGUCACAAGAGGAACAAAUCAUUUAUAAGAUUCAGGAGGCCCCAACUCAAGCAGAUAGUUGGCAGUGGAAAAACAGCUUCAAUUUUAUUACUGUAUUGAAUGAGACAUAGCUUCACAGAUGUGAGACCAUUUAAGACCAAUUGUUUUUGUACCUAAAGUUACUUAAGUAUAUAGGAUGAAAGAAAUAAUGAGUUAGGGGGCUAGGGUUAGAUUCUCUGGUCUUGUGCUAAGAGUUCCAUGACAGGAAUUUUUAUCGUUAUUAAUGACAAGGUCUUCCUCCUGAUGCCAUUCUUCUAUUUUUGUAUUUUCCUUUGUUUGUUUUUUUAAGAAUGAAUUAUUUUCAUUCAAGUUAUGAAAUCCUCCCUCAGAAGUCUGUUUAUAUUUACAAAAUAUCCUAAUUUAUAUUUAUGAAAUAAUUCUCAAAUAAAUAAAUAAUAAAGAGAAGCAGGAAGAAUGAUAGAAAAUGUGUAUUUCCAAAAUUGAUAAAGCAAUCUAUUUGCUUGUCAUUGUAAAUCAAUACAAAACAAAUAAAUUUUAAAAAAAUUACUACUAAUUACAGAUUCUUUCGAGAAAAAAAUUGCAUUCUUUAAAUCUAGGAAACUUUUAUUCUAGUUCAUAAAACAAGAUGUGAAGAAAUAAUGUUUUAUACGUAAUUGUAUAUCCAAUUGGCAAGGUAGUAUAUGUGUUCAUUUUUCUUCUACAACUGAGUCUCAAUAAAUGCAUAUAUAUGAUAAAAAUAUGAUAAUAGACAAGUAGAUAAUAGGUAGAUAGCAGAUAUAACAGAUAAGUAGAUGCUAAGUCUACACAGCUGAGGAAUCAGACCUAAAAUUAUACCAUCAGUUUAGUUACAAUUUUGUGCCUAUAUAAUUUUUUAGAAGCCUAAACAUUAAAAUUUAAUACUCUUGUUAUCCUACAAGAAUAUUGGUUAACAUUUGAAUUACUGUAAAAAAUAUUCUAAAAUAGUCAAACCAAUUUACAAUUGCAAUAUACAAUCAAGAUCACCUGCAUGAAGACAAAAUUAAUAAAAGUGCAUCAGACUUUCAUUAACUUAAAUAACCAAUAUUAUUGUUUUCCUAAAGAUAAAGUUUCAUUUUAAGAAUAAAUGUCAAAUUAUUUUCAAUUUGCUGUAUAAGAAUUACUAGUUGGCGAAAUGAGUCAAUCCUCUGUUGGGGAGCAAUGUUGUUGGUGAACAGUGGUCAACCAGUCUAUACUUUGGGGAACAGGAGCAGGAUUGGUCAUCAAAAUGAGAGAAUCUGACCUACUGUACUAUUGUCUAUGAGAUGUCUUUCAUUUUGAUGUAGGUUUCUCCUUUAUUAGUAAACAGAUGACUUUUUAGUGAGGAAAAAACCCUGUUUUUUUCAUCUCAAUAGUCUUCUUAUAAAUUGAUGAAGAAGCUCAUCAAUAAAGAAAACUUGGUACACACCAGCUUUCAUGUAAAUUGUAUCAAUUCUUAACUAGAUUUUGCCUAGGAGCUAAUUUUUCAGACAUGAAAUUGCUUGGAAAUCCAGAAGGAUUUUCUUUUUCAUCUGGGGGCAAUCUGGUAGCAAUUUCAUAUCCCUUACUAAAUUUGAGAGUAUGUCUGUGUGUGCAUAAGUGCAUGUGUAUUUAUGUAGGUGUGUAUACUAGACUUUUCCUUUUUUUUAGUUUAUUUUUUAAUUAAAGAUUCUCCACUCAAAAUAUUAGAAAUUUAGUGAAGCAUAAGAAAACCACUACUCAAAAAAUCAUUGCCAAUAUGUUAGUAAGUAUAUAUUCAGAAUUUUCUAUGAACAAGCUCAUUUUAACAAAAACCAAAAAAAGAGGCAUAGGUGUACACACUGAGUAUCUUUAUUGUCUUGUUCAUUACAUCGUGACCAUGUUUUCUAUCAACCCAUAUGCAUUUGAAGUAUGGUAAUAAAAUCUGCAUGGCAUUCCGUUAUAUAAACGCACUCUAACCGAUUUAACUAAUCCCUACUCUGAGACAUUUACUGUGCUUCUGACUUUCUCCCAUUCUAAAAGAUGCCUCAAUUAAUAUUUUAUCAAAUCUGUGUUAAAACUGUGAUAAAUUUUUACUAGUGGAAUUGCUAAGCCAAAGUCAUUGUCUACUUUUAAAGCUUCUUAUUAAUAUAUCCAUAUUCUGCUCUUUAAAAGUUUGGUCAGUUUACUCUCCUAUGAGUAGUAUGUAUUAACACUUGUUUUCUCACAUAUCCACUGUCACUGGGAAGACUACUUGUAUUUUUUCAUAUUCAGGGUCACUGGAUACUAUUAAAAAAUAAAAAAUUGGGGUCAAUUAUUUUGUUCAAAUAUGUUAUCUCAUUAUUUGUUUUUAUUUGUAUUUCUUUUAAUUUUAUCAAUUUCUUUAUUAGCCAUUUUAAUUAUUUUUUGCUUACUUUCCUGUUAUAUACAUUCUGUACAUUUUCUUAUCUUCUGUACUUUAUUAGUGAUAUUUGGUUUUGAUAUAUGAAAACAACCAUUUGUUACAAAUGAAACAAAUUUUUUUUCAGAUGGCUGUCUACAAAAUAGUCUUUCAGUAAGAGGAUGACUCUGGAGUUAGGCAAACUGGGGUUUCAAAUCUGAAUUAUCUCAUUUACAAGCUAUGUGACUUUAGACAAGCUACUAGAGCUCACUAAAACUCAGCUUUAACAUAAUAUAAAAUAGGGAUGGUAAACCUGUUUUGGACAUAAAUACUAAAUAGGCCUAGGAAAUAGCAAGUACAAAAUUAAUGAUAGUUGUUAUUAUUUUAAUUGUUUGUAAUGUUUUAGACAUUUGAACACUGUUUGAAUGUUACAAAACCAAAUCUCUAUGUUUAUAGCUUCUUAGAGUUAAAGUAGGAAAGUUGUUGAAAACUCAGACUCGGGAAACAGUCUGAGUUGGAAACCUGGCUCCGGUUUUUAGUAGUUGUUUGAUUUUAGGCAAGUUACUUAACCUUUCUUAGCCUCAGUUUUCUCAUCUGAAAAAUAGGUGGAUAUUAAUACCUGUGUUAUAAAGGCAUUGAGACAAUAAAAUAAGGUACUGCUUAUCAAACAUCUAACACAAUGCUUGGCAUUUGAAACAUUCUCAGUAAACACC